GUGGAUGCGGGUACAACGUCUAUAUGGGCGUAAGAGCUCGUAGGCGGUCUGUCGCGUCUGCUGUGAAAACCCGAGGCUCAACCUCGGGCCUGCAGUGGGUACGGGCAGACUAGAGUGCGGUAGGGGAGAUUGGAAUUCCUGGUGUAGCGGUGGAAUGCGCAGAUAUCAGGAGGAACACCGAUGGCGAAGGCAGAUCUCUGGGCCGUAACUGACGCUGAGGAGCGAAAGGGUGGGGAGCAAACAGGCUUAGAUACCCUGGUAGUCCACCCCGUAAACGUUGGGAACUAGUUGUGGGGUCCAUUCCACGGAUUCCGUGACGCAGCUAACGCAUUAAGUUCCCCGCCUGGGGAGUACGGCCGCAAGGCUAAAACUCAAAGGAAUUGACGGGGACCCGCACAAGCGGCGGAGCAUGCGGAUUAAUUCGAUGCAACGCGAAGAACCUUACCAAGGCUUGACAUAUAGAGGAAACGUCUGGAAACAGUCGCCCCGCAAGGUCUCUAUACAGGUGGUGCAUGGUUGUCGUCAGCUCGUGUCGUGAGAUGUUGGGUUAAGUCCCGCAACGAGCGCAACCCUCGUUCUAUGUUGCCAGCACGUAAUGGUGGGAACUCAUGGGAUACUGCCGGGGUCAACUCGGAGGAAGGUGGGGAUGACGUCAAAUCAUCAUGCCCCUUAUGUCUUGGGCUUCACGCAUGCUACAAUGGCCGGUACAAAGGGCUGCAAUACCGUGAGGUGGAGCGAAUCCCAAAAAGCCGGUCCCAGUUCGGAUUGAGGUCUGCAACUCGACCUCAUGAAGUCGGAGU
rnacentral:rRNA from 1 species